rnacentral:tRNA from 1 species
GAAGGUCGUCGUAUCCGGUGAUGCGGCAGGACUUCAAAUCCUGUUAAGGCUGCCAGCAGUCUUGGGUGGGUUCAACUCCCAUGGCCUUCC